UUGAGCCGUAUGAGGUAGGAAACUCUCCAGUAUGGUUCUGAGGGAAGAGAAAAUUUUCAAAAUGUUCUAUCCCGAC
rfam:Picea glauca, whole genome shotgun sequence.